rnacentral:rRNA from 1 species
AUGAUAUGUUUCAACUGUGGUGGUCAUGGGCAUCAUGUUGGUAAUUGUGUUAGGCCUAAAGUUUGUUUUAUCUAUCAGCAAUCCCACAAUGUCAACAAUUGCUCUGCUUGGUCUAGGGUUCAGCCCACUGCAGCUUUCUUUGGUAGUGGUGCUAGUGGUCUGGGAUUCUACCAUGUUGAGGUUCUUGUGGCAAAUGAAUCCAAAUGGCUUAACUUUCAAAAUGGUGGUGUGGUUAACAUUACCAAAGGUGAAGUGGACAAGGAAAAGUUGUUGAGUCUUCUGACUGCCACAUUCUGCAAAACCAGAGCUUGGCCUUGGCAGAUUAGAGAAUUGUCCAAUAAAGAAUAUCUGGUUAGAUUCCCUCCCUGAAAGAAAGUAGAGGACUUAAUUGAACUUCAUGGGUUCAGUUUGCCUCAAGAUGUAUCUGUCAAGAUGAAUGAAUGGGUUGGGUCGUGUGACCCCUUUGGAGAACUAACUGAGGCUUAGGUGCUGAUUGAGGGGAUCCCCCCUAAAUGGUGCUCUUGGAAAGUGUUUGCACAAAUUGCAUCCAUGUUUGGUGUGCUGACUGAUGUUGAUUGGAAUGGCAUGCUUAGGACAUUCUUUGAAAAUGUGAGGAUUAAGACUGCUUGCAGAAACCCUAGUAAAAUCCCUUUUGAGAGACUGAUUGAGAUGAAGAAGAAGUUAUUUCUGCUUGGUUUCACUGUAGAAGGCUUUGAGCAGGUGGGAGGUAAAGGAUCUGUGGUGGAAAUUGAAGAUGAGGAAGAGGAUGAUGACAUUGAUGAGGACAAUGGUAAUCAGGGACAGCAUGAUCUACCCAAGAAUGAUGAACAUGAUGAUCUCAUUGAUGAUGACACUGCCAUUGAUGAGCUUGAUAAAGCAAAUCUAACAACCAGGGGUGUCAAUGGAUCUUCUGCUGGAAAAAAAAUCCUGUAA